GACGAACGCUGGCGGCGUGCUUAACACAUGCAAGUCGAACGGAAAGGCCCCUUUGGGGGUACUCGAGUGGCGAACGGGUGAGUAACACGUGAGUAACCUGCCCUUGACUUCGGGAUAACUUCAGGAAACUGGGGCUAAUACCGGAUAGGAAUCCUUGCUGCAUGGUGGGGGUUGGAAAGCUUCGGCGGUUUUGGAUGGACUCGCGGCCUAUCAGCUUGUUGGUGGGGUAGUGGCUUACCAAGGCUUUGACGGGUAGCCGGCCUGAGAGGGCGACCGGCCACAUUGGGACUGAGAUACGGCCCAGACUCCUACGGGGGGCAGCAGUGGGGAAUAUUGCACAAUGGGCGGAAGCCUGAUGCAGCAACGCCGCGUGCGGGAUGACGGCCUUCGGGUUGUAAACCGCUUUCAGCAGGGGCGAAGCUUGUGGUGACGGUACCUGCAGAAGAAGCACCGGCUAACUACGUG
rnacentral:rRNA from 1 species